rnacentral:rRNA from 1 species
CAGCCGCGCGGUAAUACGGAGGGUGCAAGCGUUAUCCGGAUUUAUUGGGUUUAAAGGGUCCGUAGGCGGAUCUGUAAGUCAGUGGUGAAAUCUCACAGCUUAACUGUGAAACUGCCAUUGAUACUGCAGGUCUUGAGUAAAUUUGAAGUGGCUGGAAUAAGUAGUGUAGCGGUGAAAUGCAUAGAUAUUACUUAGAACACCAAUUGCGAAGGCAGGUCACUAAGAUUUAACUGACGCUGAUGGACGAAAGCGUGGGGAGCGAACAGGAUUAGAUACCCGCGUAGUCCCUGUCUCUUAUACC